rnacentral:tRNA from 1 species
GAUAAUUAGCUCAAACGGUAGAGCGCUCGCUUUGCAUGCGAGAGGUACGGGGUUCGAUACCUUGUAUCU